AAUGCAGCGGAUCCGCAUGGAUAUGUUGUUAAGGUUUACCGCCUUGGGAUAGGCUUGCGUCUGAUUAGCUAGUUGGUGUGGUAACGGCACACCAAGGCUACGAUCAGUAACUGGUCUGAGAGGAUGAUCAGUCACACUGGAACUGAGACACGGUCCAGACUCCUACGGGAGGCAGCAGUGAGGAAUAUUGGGCAAUGCUCGAAAGAGUGACCCAGCAACGCCGCGUGGAGGAUGAAGGUAUUCUAUAUCGUAAACUCCUGUGAGAGCAGACGAAAGACAGAUUAUUAAUCUGGAUGACUGUAUGCUCAGAGGAAGCCCCGGCUAACUACGUG
rnacentral:rRNA from 1 species